AGUGAACGCUGGCGGUAGGCCUAACACAUGCAAGUCGAACGGCAGCACAGUAAGAGCUUGCUCUUACGGGUGGCGAGUGGCGGACGGGUGAGGAAUACAUCGGAAUCUACUUUUUCGUGGGGGAUAACGUAGGGAAACUUACGCUAAUACCGCAUACGACCUACGGGUGAAAGCAGGGGAUCUUCGGACCUUGCGCGAUUGAAUGAGCCGAUGUCGGAUUAGCUAGUUGGCGGGGUAAGGGCCCACCAAGGCGACGAUCCGUAGCUGGUCUGAGAGGAUGAUCAGCCACACUGGAACUGAGACACGGUCCAGACUCCUACGGGAGGCAGCAGUGGGGAAUAUUGGACAAUGGGCGCAAGCCUGAUCCAGCCAUACCGCGUAGGUGAAGAAGGCCUUCGGGUUGUAAAGCCCUUUUGUUGGGAAAGAAAAGCAGCAGGAUAAUACCCCGCUGUUCUGACGGUACCCAAAGAAUAAGCACCGGCUAACUUCGUG
rnacentral:rRNA from 1 species